GUAAUAACUGUUCCGCCGCUGCGGGUUGGCUGGGAGGAUUAAGUGAGCUCCUGUGUGUGUGAAGCCUUUGCAACCGUGGGAGUGUGUGACUCUUCCUCUCAGAGAGGGGCUAGCUUCAGGCCCCGCCCAGCCUGGGGCCAACCCGGCACACACCCUCUGUGGCCGUGGCAGAGGUACCCCAGGACCUUGUGGGACAUGUGGGGACUUUACUGAAUAGCCGGCACACACACCUUUUCUAUGCUAGGCCCUGUGCUCACUUUGGAGGUACAGAGUAAGCUUUUCAGCACUGUUUGCCCUGCCGUGACUCCCUUGGACUGCAAGGAGAUCCAACCAGUCCAUCCUAAAGGAGAUCAGUCCUGGGUGUUCAUUGGAAGGACUGAUGCUGAAGCUGAAACUCCAAUACUUUGGUACUUUGGCCACCUCAUGCGAAGAGUUGACUCACUGGAAAAGACCCUGACGCUGGGAGGGAUUGGGGGCAGGAGGAGAAGGGGACAACAGAGGAUGAGAUGGCUGGAUGGC
ensembl:lncRNA